rnacentral:rRNA from 1 species
UACGUAGGGGGCAAGCGUUGUCCGGAUUUAUUGGGCGUAAAGAGCGUGUAGGCGGUUUGGUAGGUCCGCUGUGAAAACUCGAGCUCAACCUCGAGAGCCGCGGUGGAAACCAUCAGACUAGAGUCCGAAAGAGGAGAGUGGAAUUCCUGGUGUAGCGGUGAAAUGCGCAGAUAUCAGGAAGAACACCCGUGGCUAAGGCGGCUCUCUAGUACGGUACUGACGCUGAGACGCGAAAGCGUGGGGAGCGAACAGG